GCAAGUCGAACGCAUCCUUCGGGGUGAGUGGCAGACGGGUGAGUAACGCGUGGGAAUGUACCUCUUGCUACGGGAUAGCUCCGGGAAACUGGAAUUAAUACCGUAUGUGCCCUUCGGGGGAAAGAUUUAUCGGCAAGGGAUCAGCCCGCGUUGGAUUAGCUAGUUGGUGGGGUAAAGGCCUACCAAGGCGACGAUCCAUAGCUGGUCUAAGAGGAUGAUCAGCCACAUUGGGACUGAGACACGGCCCAAACUCCUACGGGAGGCAGCAGUGGGGAAUAUUGGACAAUGGGCGCAAGCCUGAUCCAGCCAUGCCGCGUGAGUGAUGAAGGCCCUAGGGUUGUAAAGCUCUUUCAGUGGGGACGAUAAUGACGGUACCCACAGAAGAAGCCCCGGCUAACUUCGUGCCAGCAGCCGCGGUAAUACGAAGGGGGCUAGCGUUGUUCGGAAUUACUGGGCGUAAAGCGCACGUAGGCGGACUUUUAAGUCAGGGGUGAAAUCCCGGGGCUCAACCCCGGAACUGCCUCUGAUACUGGAAGUCUCGAGUGUGGUAGAGGUGAGUGGAAUUGCGAGUGUAGAGGUGAAAUUCGUAGAUAUUCGCAGGAACACCAGUGGCGAAGGCGGCUCACUGGACCACAACUGACGCUG
rnacentral:rRNA from 1 species